rnacentral:rRNA from 1 species
UACGUAGGGCGCAAGCGUUGUCCGGAAUUAUUGGGCGUAAAGAGCUCGUAGGCGGCUUGUCACGUCGGGUGUGAAAGCCCGGGGCUUAACCCCGGGUCUGCAGUCGAUACGAGCAAACUAGAGUGUUGCAGGGGAGACUGGAAGUUCCUGGUGUAGCGGUGAAAUGCGCAGAUAUCAGGAGGAACACCGGUGGCGAAGGCGGGUCUCGUGGGCAACAACGUGACGCUGGAGGAGCGAAAGCGUGGGGAGCGAACAGG